GUGGAUUAGAUACCCUGGUAGUCCACACCGUAAACGUUGGGCGCUAGGUGUGGGACUCAUUCCACGAGUUCCGUGCCGCAGCUAACGCAUUAAGCGCCCCGCCUGGGGAGUACGGCCGCAAGGCUAAAACUCAAAGGAAUUGACGGGGGCCCGCACAAGCGGCGGAGCAUGCGGAUUAAUUCGAUGCAACGCGAAGAACCUUACCUGGGUUUGACAUAUGGAGAAAUCUCCCAGAGAUGGGAGGUCCGUAAGGGCUCCAUACAGGUGUUGCAUGGCUGUCGCCAGCU
rnacentral:rRNA from 1 species